rnacentral:rRNA from 1 species
GAAGAACACCAGGUUGAUAGGUGAGAGGUGUAAGCAUGGUAACAUGUUCAGCUGACUCAUACUAAUAAGUCGAGGGCUUGACCUAAUU